rnacentral:rRNA from 2 species
GCGGCGGACGGGUGUGUAACACGUGGGCAACCUGCCUGUAAGACUGGGAUAACUUCGGGAAACCGAAGCUAAUACCGGAUAGGAUCUUCUCCUUCAUGGGAGAUGAUUGAAAGAUGGUUUCGGCUAUCACUUACAGAUGGGCCCGCGGUGCAUUAGCUAGUUGGUGAGGUAACGGCUCACCAAGGCAACGAUGCAUAGCCGACCUGAGAGGGUGAUCGGCCACACUGGGACUGAGACACGGCCCAGACUCCUACGGGAGGCAGCAGUAGGGAAUCUUCCGCAAUGGACGAAAGUCUGACGGAGCAACGCCGCGUGAGUGAUGAAGGCUUUCGGGUCGUAAAACUCUGUUGUUAGGGAAGAACAAGUACAAGAGUAACUGCUUGUACCUUGACGGUACCCUAACCAGAAAAGCCACGGCUAACUACGUGGCCAGCGGCCGCGGUAAUACGUAGGUGGCAAGCGUUAUCCCGGAAUUAUUUGGGGCGUAAAGCGCGCGCAGGCGGUUUCUUAAGUUCUGAUGUGAAAGCCCACGGCUCAACCGUGGAGGGUCAUUGGAAACUGGGGAACUUGAGUGCAG